rnacentral:siRNA from 1 species
AUGGGCCGAGAGGUGAGGUCCAGA